AUUGAACGCUGGCGGCAGGCCUAACACAUGCAAGUCGAGCGGUAGAGAGAAGCUUGCUUCUCUUGAGAGCGGCGGACGGGUGAGUAAUGCCUAGGAAUCUGCCUGAUAGUGGGGGAUAACGUCCGGAAACGGACGCUAAUACCGCAUACGUCCUACGGGAGAAAGUGGGGGCUCUUCGGACCUCACGCUAUCAGAUGAGCCUAGGUCGGAUUAGCUAGUUGGUGGGGUAAAGGCUCACCAAGGCGACGAUCCGUAACUGGUCUGAGAGGAUGAUCAGUCACACUGGAACUGAGACACGGUCCAGACUCCUACGGGAGGCAGCAGUGGGGAAUAUUGGACAAUGGGCGAAAGCCUGAUCCAGCCAUGCCGCGUGUGUGAAGAAGGUCUUCGGAUUGUAAAGCACUUUAAGUUGGGAGGAAGGGUCGUUACCUAAUACGUGGCGAUUUUGACGUUACCGACAGAAUAAGCACCGGCUAACUCUGUGCCAGCCGCCGCAGUAACAC
rnacentral:rRNA from 1 species